CGUAUUUCUGUUUUGACCUGUGGAGCCCCAUUCAAAACUUAGGGGGAAAAAAACUUUAAAAAAUUUAUGUCUGUUUGUUCUCGUGUUUGUCUAUUUUGUGUUUUGUAUUCCAAAACGUAUGUUAAGUUUUCCAACAUUUCUUUUUCAUUACCUCAGAGUAAGCGCCUAGGAUCCCUUAAUAAGUUUAAGGCUAAAGCCCGUUCCAUUCUUCUAGCAACUGACGUUGCCAGCCGAGGUUUGGACAUACCUCAUGUAGAUGUAGUUGUCAACUUUGACAUUCCUACCCAUUCCAAGGAUUACAUCCAUCGAGUAGGUCGAACAGCUAGAGCUGGGCGCUCUGGAAAGGCUAUUACUUUUGUCACACAGUAAGUAAAUCAGCUUUAGGGGCAGAGCAAUGUAGAGAAAAGAGCAGAACUUUGGAGCCACUGGCUGAGAACCUGACACUACCAUUUACUACACUAAUCACUUUCAUACUGAAAACCAGGAUGAAGGAGUUGAAAGAUGGGAAUAAUAAGACCUAUCUAGCAGGGUUUUGGUGAAAAUUGGAGAUUAUUUAUGUAAAAGAUCUAGUAUAGUAUUUGGCAUGUA
rnacentral:sRNA from 1 species